CACACACAGCUCACGCCACACGUCACACGUCAGAUGUUGGCGCCGUAAUUUAAUAAGCUCUAUGCGGCCCGCUAUUCUGCCACACGGCGGGCUGCGCCGUGACACGGCGAUCAACGGGCCGCACCGACGACCUUGCAGUCGACGCGGCAGUUUAAAACAACGAAUCACCGUCGCUUCGCGGGCAUCAGUUGAACCGACGCGCACACAAGAUUGGCGGACCGGUGAUGGCCAAUAAAACGGAGCGUCGGCGCGUCGGGUGUGAGGAUCGGCCGGGAACCCCCGUCGCAGCGUCUCUUUGGCAGCCAACAACGGUCACGAACACAAUGCACAAUUUUUAUAAAUUCAAAUUCAAAUAAACUUUAUUUUCAAGACGAACUAUCAUUCCCCAACAUGCUGGACCUUCGAGCCGAACAUUAUUAAUCGCUAGAACCGUCGUCGAGCCGAACAAUUCAAGAGUCAAGACUGCCAAGUAUCAAAAAGCCGUCAUCGAGCAGCCCGAUCACCUUCACAGCCAUACAUACGGCCGGCCACCCAUCCCAUCACCUAUACCCGAUCAGUUUUGCUUCAUACUAAUCGCAACAAUAAAUUGAUUCCAGCGGUAUUUCCGGGUUCGGGUUGCCGAGUGAUCGCAGCAGCAGCUCGAGGCGCGGUGUGUUUGCUGAACUACGCGUACACAUCGCGAGGCAGCUCGAGACGCGGUGUGUUUGCUGAGCUACGAGUGCGCAUCGUGAGACGCAACCAGGAAUUAUCAACUCGCUCACUUGCUUUUGUUUCGCUUUGAGCAUCAACGGUUGAAGCAUGCAGGGCCGCAGGCACUUCUGUACAACGUGCGUGAUUCACACUGGCCGGUUGCAGGCAGAAACCUGGCAAGGAAAAUUGUACAUGAAUGUGUCACCUGUCGUAGAUUUAGAGGUAAAACACUGACUCCUAUAAUGGGCAAUCUGCCAAAGGAUAGAAUCACACCCAGUUUUCCAUUUUGCGCUGCGGUGUUGAUUAUGCUGGGCCAGUUCUUAUAUUGAAUCGGAAAGGUAGGGGUGCUAAGCUUAUCAAGGGUUACAUAUGUCUGUUUGUUUGUUUUGUAACUCGGGCUGUUCAUCUAGAGCUGGUCAGUGACCUUUCCACAGACGCUUAUUUAUUAGCUUUAAAACGAUUCAUUUCACGUCGGGGUAAGCCCUCUGAUAUAUACUCAGACAAUGGUAGAAAUUUUGUAGGUUUAAUGACAGAAUUCACUAAAUUCAUAUCAACCUGCUCAGCUGAUAUCGUUGAAUACGCAACUACUCAAAA
rnacentral:misc_RNA from 1 species